CACAGUCAGUAGCAACAAAACACCCAACUUCAGAGAAUCCAGAUGUUUGGAUGGUGUAAUACCAAACAAUCACUUGGUCUGAGGUUUUUCCUGAUUUGGACAAAUGAUUCUGACGUUACAUAAUCACAACCAUCAUGAUUUAAGUUUUAGCUACAGACAGAACCCUGUUGGGACGGACCUGAUUUUCUGUGUUAAUUAAUUAAAUGUUAUUGCUCCAACUUGUUGGUACCUCUCAGCUGAAAUCAUUUUCAAGGUCUGUUGUUUUGAUACUAUGGUGGUCUGUUUCUUUAAAUUACAAGUAGUUAAAGGAUCUUCUAGAGUAAUUAGGGCACCUCAGGCUCUAGAAACCAUAAGGGAUCAAUGAUCAUUAAUUAAAGAUGGUGGAAUAGGAAAAGGCCUGGAACCGGGAGGCAAAUGUUGAUUCUCUUGCUUGCUUGAGCUGAACUCUGACUCCUUAAGCUUUCAUGAGAGGAGAUACUUACGGAAACAUAGAUUUGUAAGAAGACUAAAACCAAAGCGGUUAACCACGCUCUCUAAAUAUAAUCCACCCCCCCACCCCCCCACCCGCCAAAGCAAGCAAACAACACAGUCCUAACAAUAGAAUAGUUUAUGUGCCGCCCAUACAAAGGGGACCUGAAACCAGGAAGCCCUAGGAUUCGAUGAGGGGAGAACAAUCUGGCAGUGAGCUGACUUCUACCAAAGCAACCUGGAUCAGGAAGCUGGUGGAGGAGAGCCUGGAACCCCUUUGGUGAGGGGCCUAAGACCUCAUGACAAGGUGUGUAAAUGGGGGAGCCAGAUGAAAGCCAGGUCCUUUGACUCCUAAGCAUGAACUUCACCCAGGGCUCAUAUUUAGAAGAUUGACCAUCCAAGCACCGCAAGCAUCCCAGGUGAUUGUGAAGCAUCCUCUGUUAAGAAGGUCUCCAGCAUUUUUGCUCCGUCUCUGGGCACACAUCAGAGCCAUCAAGCAUGGCCAUCUUUCCCUGGGGCGCUGCCCUCUGAUUCGGGCUGCCAGCUGAAAUACGUGUCUCUCAAACAUACGGAGCUUGAAGUGACUCCUUGUUUAUUUGAAAAACAAAUGUAACUGGGCUUCUGGCUGAAUCGGGCCACUGUGAGGCCUCUUCCCACUUCUCAUUUGCCUCCACCCAUCUCUUGUGGGGGGGGGUUGAAAACCACUCGAGGGAGUGCCUGUUGUGACUCAGUGGUAAGGAACCCGACUAGCAUCCAUGAAGACUCGGGUUUGAUCCUUGGCCUCGCUCAGUGGGUUAAGGAUCUGGCGUGGCUGUGGCUGGCAGCUGCAGCUCCAAUUGAAGACUUACAUAUGCGUGGACAUGGCUCUGGAAAGAAAGAAAGAAAGAGAAAGAAAGAAAGAAGGAAGGAAGGAAGGAAGGAAGGAAAGAAAGAAAGAAAGAAAGAAAGAGAAAGGAAAGAGCUUGAAAUUACAGAGCUGUGAAGAAUAAAAAAUCCUCGUUCUUGUAUUUUUUUCCUAAUGGCUACACCCAUGGUAUAUGGAAGUUCCUGGGCCAGCGACAGAAUCCCAGGUGCAUCUGUGACCUACGCCACAGCUGCAACAAUGCCGGAUUCUUAACGCACUGCACCAGGCUGGGGACAGAACCAGUGCCUCUACAGAAACAAGCCAGGUCCUCACCCACUGUGCCACAGUGGGGUCUCCCCUCUAGUCUUUUCUACCUGGACUUGCCUCCCCAUAGCUUCUGCUCCUGUCUCUACUCUGAGCAAGCCCCACUCGUCUCCCCCGAGUUCUGAGACUCUGAGACCCCGGUGCCUUGGCUGGACUAUCUCGGGCUGGACCUCAAACCUCGCAUGCUCAAAACAGGAUUCUGGCCUGAUCCACCCUGUGCUCUGUCUCUCCCUCUGUUCCACCAGUUUCUCCUCCAAAGUCCUCCAUCUCGGGAUGUGGCACUGAGGGCCGCAGCCCAAGAGCCAUUUGCAGGGCUGAUCUUUGCCACACAGCCCCUUUCCGGUCCUUCACCGGGUCCAUUUCCAUUGCCAACAUUCCCUUUGAGGCCAUCAUUUGCUCUUGGCUGGACCAGUGCCGUGGACUUGGCUCCUGUCAAAUCUUUUCUUGUUUCCGUGCUCCCCACUCUCCACACUGCAGCUGGGGACCUCCUCCCGGCAGCAGCCAGAUCGAAUCACCGACCGCCUCCCUCCUUGGUUCACGCUCUCAAAGCCUUGCAGUAGUUCCCUGCUGGAAUUAUUGGCUGGAAGCUGGGAGUUCAGCAACAAAGGCUCUGAACUGGGGCGAUUUUGCCCGCCCUCACCCCCUGGAAAUUGGCAGUGUUUGGAGACCUUCUUGGUUGUCACCACUAGGGGCGCUACUGGCAUCUAAUGUGUAGAGACCUGGGAUGCGGCUUGACACCCCGCAAUGUACAGGAGAGCACCCACCAACGGCAAACAAAGUCCAGUCCUGAAUGUCAAUCAUGAGAAGGAUGAGAAACCCCGGCCGGAAGGAUCCUAGCGUUUAAGAGGAAAGCGCAAGGGACGCUGCCUCCAGCUCAACUGGAAAGUUCUGGAGCCGACAGCCGCCCCUCCACAUUAGUGAACGCCUUCAUUCAGCUGCCAGCUGCUGCCCGCAUCUGGACGGAGAGACACAGCACAGAGCAGCUCGGCUGGGAGCCUGCGCGCUGCUCCCAAGGAAGCCUGGGUUCUUCGAGUUUACAUCACCUCCAGCAGGUUCGACCCCGAGCAAGGAAUAAAACAACUAAAAACCAGAGCCGUGUGCGCUGGGGGGUUGUCGUCCCGAAGGUCCCAGGGGAUGGCAGAGGAAAGCCUUGCACCAUCAGGCUGCACAUGGCUGCCCCAGAGUUUGCAGGCAACAAAGGCCUCUGAUUUAUUCCCCCAAGUUGGUAGCUUGAAGUGAAACCAAGGUACGCAGUCAAGAGAUGAUAAUGAUUUUAACCACAGUAGUGAACAAUGGAAGAAGAUAUAUCCCUAGCCAUCUGAUUUUCAGAAAUAGAGGUGCAAGGUCAAGAGAUGAUGGUGCCUGGAACAACAGUGUUAACCUUCAAGUUCUGCCAGUGUUCAGGUAGCAGUGAUGGACCCAUAAAGGUGGAAGUGAUGAAAGGUAUUUGCCUGUGUCCCAGUAAGAAAAAUUGUGUCCUUAAAUAUAUCUGUCACAGUGUGUUUUUUUUUAGAUUCCUGUCAGAGGAUCAUAAUGACUCUAAUAAUGGUGGUUAAUGGGACUUUACUGGUAUCCAGUGAGUGAUUAUGUGAGUCCUAGCAUGCUAUAGCCCCUUCUGACCUUCAGAAAUCUAUGUAAAUGGUGAUGGAGUCCCUAACUAUGUUUUGUGUUACUAUGUUUUGUUUUGUUUUUGCAGAUAUUCAGGUAAGAAAUUUUAUUGUUCUCACACAUACUACUAAAAAUUAGCCCUUACUGUUUACUAGUUUAGAGAUCAUUUGUUUCUAACUCUGGUCAAGACUGGGGGAUUUGUAAGUUUUGAGGUAAGUUAUCAUGCAUAGUUGUCUCUCAUCUUAGUAUUGACUAUGGGGUUUUUGUAGGUAUCCAGUCAAGAGACUGUAGUAUGGGCCUAGAUAUCCUGCAUGUAUCCAGGUAAAGUUCAUAGUUUCUCUAAUGCUGGUAGUUCCCAUGAGAUGUUGCAUUAUCUAGAUUGAAAAAAGCGUGUCCCUAGCUUUGGUAAUUGCCAUGGGUCUUACAGAUUCCACUCAUGGUAAAAAAUUAACAAUGAAAAUUAACAAUGGUAGUGAACAUGGGACUUUGCUGGUAGAGAGAUAAGAGAUGGUGUGAGCAUUUGCAUAUUAGAGAUCUUCAGAUUUCCAGAUAGCUAGGUAAAAGAUGAUGGUACUUGUAAUAUUUUUGGUUACACAGGGGUGUUUUGUUUUGAUUUGAUUUUUUCAUAGAUAUGUAGGUGAGUUCUUUGCUAAAAUAUAGGUAAGAAAUGGUGUGACAUUUACAUAUUAGAGACCAUGUGAAUUUCAGAUAUCUAGGUAAUUGUUGGUGGUAAUCAUACCUCUGCUGAUCUAUUUUUAGGUUUGCAGGGAAGAAAUUAAUUUGCCCACCAAUAUUAGUAAGCAUGAAAUUUUAUAUAUUCUUGUUCAGAGGUAGUAUGUGUUUUAUACUCCUAGUGAUGGAUCAAUAAGAUAGAAAUCCAGGUAAUUUAUCAUACCAUCCAUCAUGUGUUAUUGACCAUGGGAUUUUUGCAGGUAUCCCUUUUAGAGAGGAAUGUAUCUCCUACUAGGGUUUAACCUCCCCAGCUCUACAAGUACCUAGGUGGUAUUGAUGAAUAGCAAACAAAGAAAUGAUCAAGGGAAUUUGCCGAUGUCCAGGUAGUAUAAGACUAGUACUAAACACAUAUUUCACAAUGUGCUUUUCAUAUUCCUUUCAAGAGGUUAGGAUAAGCCUAACAAUGGUCGCUAAUGGGGGACAUUGCAGGUAUCCAGGUAAGUGAUGACAUAGGCUUAAGCCAUAGCAGAAGCCAUUUGAUCUUCAUAUAAGCAGGUUAAUGAUGACAGUGUCCCUAACAGUUGUUGACAUGUUUGUUGGUUUUGCAGAUGAGGAAAUUUAAAAAAUAAUUGAGUGUUAGAAAUCAUGAGUUCUCACUUUUUGUAUUUUUGAGAAAUUUUUUGUUUAACCCUAUGGGUUUUGAGGAGUUGCUGUAUCUAGGUAAUAAUGAUGAUGUUCCUCACCAGACUACCAUUCAUGGGGUUUUUGUGGGUAUCUGGUUUUCAUCUGACAACAGUGUUGACCUUGGGGUACUGUAUCAGGUAAAGCUUAUAUGUUCCAUAAUGAUAGAAGUGACCAAGGUUAUUUGCAGGUAUUCUGGUAGAAAAGGUUCUCUUUAACACAUAGUUCAUAAUGUGUUGUCUUAUUCCUGUCAAGAUAUGGUGAAACUAACAAUGAGCUUUCACCUGGGACUUUUCUAAUCCUCAGGUGAGUGGUGAUGUGGGUUUCCACACUACAAACCUUGUGAUCAUCACAAGUCUAAGUCAGCGAUGAUGGUGUCCCUAAUACUUGUGUUGCUAUGAUUUUUCCCCAGGUAUCACGUAAGUACCCAGGUAAGAAAUCGUAUGACACUGACAAUGUAUGUAUUGCUAGUAUACAGGUAAGAAAUUAUAUUACAUUUACACAUUAGAGACCUUCUUAUUUUUCAGACAUAUAGGUCAUCAAUAAUGGUGUCAAGAACUCUUAUACUAACAUUGUUUUUUGACAGGUAUAUAGGUAAGAAAUUAAUUUUACUGAAUUUGUGUCUAAGAUGUGUAUUAGAGUGUUGAGGGACUGCCAUAUCCACAUAAUGAUGAGGGUUUUCCCCAGCCCUGUAGUACCUAGGAUUUUUGCAAGUACCUAGUCAGUAGGGGAUAUUGUUACUAACAAAGGUAUAAUCAGUGGGAUACAACAAGUAUCUAGAUGGAGUUAACGGAUCUUGCAGUGAAGGAAGCCACCACCUUUAUAUAUAGGCAUCCAGGAAGAAAAAGAUGUAUAUAUAGAAACAUUUGUAACAAUGUGUUUGUCAUUUUAGUCAAGAGCACAUGAUGAACUUUACCAUGGCUCUUUACAGAGAUUUUUCUGGUAGCCAGGUAAGUGAUAAUAUGGGCCUGAACCAGGGCCCACAGACCAUCUGAUCUUCAGAUACCUAAGUAAGGGACAACAGUGUCCCUGACCCUUAAUGUGUUUUUUAUUAUAGCUAUUUAGAUAAGAAGUGAUAGAGUCCUUACCAUUUCUAGAACUUAUGAGAUUUCAUGUUUUAUAUUUGAGAGAAAGUCUGUUGUACCCUCCUGGUAUCUGUUUAUACCAUAUACCAGGUAAUAUGGUAUAACACCUGUUACCAUAUAUAUUUUUUUUUUUUUUGUCUUUUUGCUAUUUCUUUGGGCCGCUCC